GAAGAACCCUGGCACUGCCAGAGCCCCACCAGCAGGCGAACGGGCAGGUGUUCACAUCACACUGUGCUGUUUCACCUCACAGCUGUCUGGAGCCUUGCAGUUUCUUUUCAUGGAGAGUACAAGUGAAGAUCUUUGAAGAGAACCUUGUGAAUCCUGACUCUAUGUCUUUCCA